GAGGAAGAGGGAGAAAAGAAACAAAGCGAGAGCCAGCCCGGAGUUUGAGCAGUGCGCCUCAUUAACAUUCUCAAUUAGCUUGGAGCCUCCACAGCCCUCAGUGGUGGCUGAAAUCGCUGCUACCUCCCGUUCCCCAGUGGGACCACUGGUACUGUGGACGCGAAUGCAGCACGCACCAAGAAGCCAUUGGGAACACGGGGGAUCACCCCUGCGAUUGAGAACCACCCCUCCCUGGGCUGCAGCGUGGGAAAUGUCUCCCCUGCCAUCCAGGAGGCUGCAGAGCGGGAUGGGGCCAGAACAAUCAACCCGAACAGGAUGCACACUGCCGUGCACGCUGUGAUCACAACUCUGCUGAGAUAUAUCUGCCAGUGGCUGGCUCUGGAAAUGAGUGAGCAAAAGUGAAAACAGCUGUGGCGUGGUGGUAAGACUAGGGAUGAGGUUUCUCUUGCGGUUCUCAGUUUUUUAACUGAGAAUGUCAUUGUACAGAUCUUAUACAAUGUCAACACACAGACCUUGUAGUGAAAGGUAUGCUGCUACAUUUUCUCAGUGUAGAAAAUGCUUUUCUCUGAACAUUUCCUGUAGGUGAAUCAUUUGAGUGAUCAUAUGAUCUGUUGAAAAAUUUUAGAAGCUAAGAAUAAGCAAGUUGAUUAAUCUCAUAAAUAUUCUAAGGGCGGUCGGCGCCGUGGCUUAACAGGCUAAUCCUCCGCCUUGCGGCACCGGCACACCAGGUUCUAGUCCUGGUCGGGGCGCUGGAUUCUAUCCCGGUUGCCCCUCUUCCAGGCCAGCUCUCUGCUAUGGCCCGGGAAGGCAGUGGAGGAUGGCCCAAGUCUUUGGGCCCUGCACCCGCAUGGGAGACCAGGAGAAGCACCUGGCUCCUGGCUUCGGAUCAGUGCGAUGAGCUGGCCACAGCGGCCAUUGCGGGUGAACCAACGGCAAAAAGGAAGACCUUUCUCUGUCUCUCUCUCUCUCACUGUCCACUCUGCCUGUCAAAAAUAAAAUUCAAAAAAAAAAAAAAAAAAAGGCUUAAUGUGGCAUUUACUUCAGUCC